rnacentral:rRNA from 1 species
AGGACGAACGCUGGCGGCGUGCCUAAUACAUGCAAGUCGAACGGUCUUUCUAUGGAAGCUUGCUUCCACUGAGAAGAUAGUGGCGAACGGGUGAGUAACUCGUGGGUAACCUGCCCAUAAGAGGGGGGAUAACAUCCGGAAACGGGUGCUAAUACCGCAUAGUUUUCUUGGUCGCAUGAUCGGGAAAGGAAAGACGGCCUUUGUGCUGUCGCUUAUGGAUGGACCCGCGGCGUAUUAGUUAGUUGGUGAGGUAACGGCUCACCAAGACGAUGAUACGUAGCCGACCUGAGAGGGUGAUCGGCCACAUUGGGACUGAGACACGGCCCAAACUCCUACGGGAGGCAGCAGUAGGGAAUCUUCCGCAAUGGACGAAAGUCUGACGGAGCAACGCCGCGUGAGUGAAAGAAGGUUUUCGGAUCGUAAAACUCUGUUGUCAGAGAAGAACAAGUUGGAGAGUAACUGCUCCAGCCUUGACGGUAUCUGACCAGAAAGCCACGGCUAACUACGUGCCAGCCGCGGC